GGUUAAGCGACUAAGCGUACACGGUGGAUGCCCUGGCAGUCAGAGGCGAUGAAGGACGUGCUAAUCUGCGAUAAGCGCCGGUAAGGUGAUAUGAACCGUUAUAACCGGCGAUUUCCGAAUGGGGAAACCCAGUGUGAUUCGUCACACUAUCAUUAACUGAAUCCAUAGGUUAAUGAGGCGAACCGGGGGAACUGAAACAUCUAAGUACCCCGAGGAAAAGAAAUCAACCGAGAUUCCCCCAGUAGCGGCGAGCGAACGGGGAGGAGCCCAGAGCCUGAAUCAGCAUGUGUGUUAGUGGAAGCGUCUGGAAAGGCGCGCGAUACAGGGUGACAGCCCCGUACACAAAAGCGCAUGUGCUGUGAGCUCGAUGAGUAGGGCGGGACACGUGGUAUCCUGUCUGAAUAUGGGGGGACCAUCCUCCAAGGCUAAAUACUCCUGACUGACCGAUAGUGAACCAGUACCGUGAGGGAAAGGCGAAAAGAACCCCGGCGAGGGGAGUGAAAAAGAACCUGAAACCGUGUACGUACAAGCAGUGGGAGCACAGGUUUACCUGUGUGACUGCGUACCUUUUGUAUAAUGGGUCAGCGACUUAUAUUCUGUAGCAAGGUUAACCGUAUAGGGGAGCCGUAGGGAAACCGAGUCUUAACCGGGCGUUAAGUUGCAGGGUAUAGACCCGAAACC
rnacentral:rRNA from 1 species